ensembl:lncRNA
GACAUUUUAUUAUAGUUACACUUUUGAUUAUCCCAACACUGACAUUAGGCGGUGAAUCAAAUACUAUCAUGCAGACAGGACAACGGAUUGUCUAGCCUGUAAUUUAGAGAGGUUCCUCUUCUUUUAAAUCUCUUGUUAGUUUGUUUUUUUAAGGCAGGUUGCGAAUGCGAACCAACUUUGGUAGAGGGAUGAGCGGAGAGAGCAACAAACCAACAAACGCUUUGCGAAUCGAUUCGAAUGAGUCAUCACAAAGAUUCAGUUCAUAAGAUAGAUUCGUUCGCGAAUCAGACGUCACACGUGAUGUCACCACGCUCGCUCUUCUUCGAUGGUUUGCGGCAGCGCUAUAAAUGCUGGCGCGCUACUGUGCGCGCUCUCUCAGUUCUGCGAUGGUUCAGCGGGAGUGCGCUAGAGCUUACAAAAAUGAGAAAGUCAUGCGGUUACAAGAAGGAGGCUGAAUGUGCUCUGGAUUUACUCCAGAUGAGGACUCUCCAGCUGCUGUAGCUCCGAUGUCACACAAGACCCCAAAAUGCCUCGAUCCCAACGGCCAGUACUGCUGAG